rnacentral:lncRNA from 1 species
CUCAGGAACAAGCCUGGUUUAAACAAUUCAAGUCCUUAAUCGAAAAGGUCUGUGGAAUGUUUGGAUAAUGAACUCUUGAAAAGGGUGUAAUUGCUGUCAGGUGUUUUCAGUCAGUUCAGGUGUGGCACCCCACCAUAAACAAAACUGCACAAUAUUAAUUACCUGCUGUUCAAAAGAAAUACGGGCUUAUGAAAAAUAUUUCAAAGGAGCUGAGAAGACAUUUUGGAUUGAAAGAUUUGGGCCUUCAUCAGUCUGCUGUUGUAUAUCUCACCAGAAGCAAAUACUUUGAAAGGAGAUGGGGUCGCCUCGGAGUCCAGAGAGGGCAGCACAAGUGUGGCAUUGUGGGCCAAAGGAGAGACGGCCAUUGUUCCUGCCCGCUGCCUGCCACAGCUGUGCACGAAUAAGAGCAGGGACAAACCACAACAUAUAUCAAUGUGGAGGCUGUGAGGGAUGGUCCACGGGUGUCCACACUCAAAGAAGCCUAGUGUCUUUCAACUAAAAAAUGCCAAAGGGUGCACAAAUCACUCAAGGUGACGCUUUUAUUGCUUUCAGUCCACAGGAGGAGACAAGAGAGCUAGUAAAAGGAACAGACUCCUGAGGAAUAGAAAAUGCAUUUGUGUGAGAGAUAAUAUCUGUCUAUGCACACAUGCAUACAUAGUGUAAAAAAUUUACUUCAAUAAAAAA